GGUGAGAAUGCAAAGCAAGUCAGAAGGACGGGCUAGAAAUUGCUCACUCUGAAGAGGACUCGCAGUCUGACUCUUCUCCAGCGCGGUGCAGUUUCAGAUAACCCACGGAGCUGAAGGAUCUCUUUAACACUCUCAGGCCAGGGGUGUGAUUUUGCCAGCUGAAGGCAGUUUACAUUUGGAGUUCCGCGGACUCUUCAGAGGCUGUAAAAAUGCCGGAGUCACGAAAGCCUGCAAAGAGCUGUUGCUCGCCUUGCUGCUGCUGCUGCUACUGCCGUCCCUGCCCGUGCUGCAGCUGCUACUCCUGCUGCUGCUGCUGCUGCUUGUUGCUGAUUGUUGCGGUUGCUGGUUGCUGUUUACUGUUUGCUGCCGGCUGGAUUGCUGGAUUGCUGAUUGCCAGUCGGCGAAAUCCUGGCGAUGAAGAUCCAACUUGCCCCAAGAAACAAGACGACCCUAAGAAGUAGUCUAAUGAUUUCAAUACGCCCUUUCCCCCUCUGACCUUUCUCUCUUACCUUAUGCUGGGGGAUUGGAAGGGUGGCAGAAAAAAGAACCCAAUAAAGUAGCCAAAAGUAAAGUUACUUUGUGGCUUA
ensembl:processed_transcript RIKEN cDNA 2010204K13 gene